GUGCAAACCUCACGGAAAACCUCGGCUCGGUCACGUGCCCGGGACCAUGUCCCGACUCCCGGGGCGGCUCCCGCCGGAUCGCCGGGACUCGCUCGGCUCUGUGCUCGGAACAACUCCCGCAGGAAGAGCCCCGGGGCAGGCCAGGCCUGUAUUUAUGUCUACAGCCCUAAAAAUCUGUUGGUGGGGCAGAGUGAGGGAGCAGCGUGGGAAGAGUGAGGUGCUUGCUUCUGGAAAGCAGGAGGAAGUUCUGUAUGUAUUUGUGUUCUGGAGUGGCCGGGAGCAGAAAAACUGUCACCAGAGCUGGUUACAGCUCACGCCUGCAAAUGCAAAAAGUUGUACGGAGACAACAGUGCACAGGAAGACUUGCUAGGCUAUGGAUUAAGCCAAUUAUUCAGAGAAGAUGGUGUGUACAAGGAAAGCUCAGCACUCAAAAGCAGAGAUUAGGUGCCUUUCUAAGGAGAAUAGGUGGAGGGACAAGAUUUGGGGAAGAAAAACCUGCUGAAGAAAAUGUUCCACUUACCGUGAAAACAGGAAAGAAGGAGAGUAAUAAAAGAAUGAAGCCUAUCUAGUUUCAAAAUUUGGCUGAAGAAAAAGAAGUAGUAAAAAUCACUGCUGCAGAUGAGAUCCAUAGAUAAUCUCAUGGGAUGUAGAAAGAUCUGUACUGUAUCUUGCAACUAUCAGAAAGCACAUGGGGUAGAGGUUUUUUUAAGAAGCAGUUUACAAGACAAAGUGGAGACUUGGAGGUGUCCAGCUAGAGCUAUGGUUGAUGUCCAGGCAGGAAGUUCUCAAAAUGUCCUGAAUUCCAGGCUUAUAUCUGUCUGUCAAUGCAGUCUGUGCUACAGCUGCUCAGCACUGAUGAAGAAACUCUCUGACUCUGAACUUCUUGUUUUCUCCAUCUCCUACUGGUAGCUGGUGAUGAGGAAAGCACAGUUAGGAGUUCUCUUUCUGAUGAAGCUUUUGAGUUCUCAGUGCAUAGGCACUUGGUCUGUGACACCAAAGCUACUCCUCAGCAUCUGGACACAACUCAGAGAAGAUUUUUCCUCCAGGUUUUUGGUUAACAAGCUAGGCUGACGUACCUUCACCUCAGCUGUAAAUGAAUCCUCUCCUGGCACUUGUACAGUGUGCCAUUCCCAGGAAGAUUUGGGAGUUUGUUGGCAUGUCCUGGCUCACGCAUUCCCUGGCAUCACUCUGACAUUCCUACAACAAUUUCUAUCCCCAGCAGAUCACUUCCUCAAGUAAAUAUGGCAUAGCAGCUCAGAGGGUGGUCGAGGACUGCUCAAUACAUUCAUUUGGAUAUAUGCAGAACUGCAGUGAUCUUUUCCUGUGCCUUGGUGCUUUGCCACCAACCAAAAAUUCCCGCUCUCCCUCCUGCUGUGAUCUUCCUCCCACAGACCAGCCUUGCUGGUGAUUUUGUCUUGCUCCUCCCUUCCCCAGCAAGCUUCUUGCUCUGACAAAUUCUCCUUGGGCUACAAUAGCUCCUGCCAGGUUCCUCCCAGUCUGUGGUCAUGGCUGCUGGGGUGGAUGUGAGCAUACCUGGCCCCAACGCCACAAACUCUCCCUUUGUACCCCUAACAGCCUGGAAACUUCUUCAAAUUCAUGAAUGCAUCCUGCAUACAAUUGUGCAUUUUCUUCAGAGGAAAAAUAAAUUGCAAGAAGAAAAGUGUUUCUGCCUAAAAACAAGCCUGUGUUGUUUUGGGAGUGGAAAAGAAUCCCUAAACAAGAUGACAAAAACACACAGUAUAUUAUUUUGAUUACAGUUGUUCUAACUGAAUAUUUUUACAGAUCUGACAAUUAUUAAAGGGUUUCAAAAAUACAGGAGGUACAUUUUUUCCCCCCUAGUGUUUUGAAAUCAAUCUCCAUGUUUACUAGAGAUCCUUUUCUCAGCUCUUUUGCACCAAGGUCCCCAAGUAAGAUAAUGUUUUUCCUGGGAUUUUUGGGGGAGGGUCUUAAUUAAUCUUGAUUAGACAUUUCUAGAGAAGGCUGGCUGCCACAAAGCCAUGGGUACUGCAGAGGCAGUGUUUCUGAGGUGUGGUACUGGUGGGCACUUGUUCUGUAACCUUGGGGGGGAAGAUGCCAAGUGCAUGCUGCUCUUCUCAUGUCACACCUGUUGUGUCUUCCUUGGAGCAUCUGUUCAUUACUGUCAGGGGACCCCGGGCAGCUGGCUGUCCACAAUGGCAAAGGGAAUGUCUUUUAUCAGGUUGGGGGGCAUUAACAUGUGGUUUUCUUGUGGAGAUGACAGUGUCAGGUUUCUGCAUAUGUUUGUUUCUUCCCAUCUUCUUUUUCGAGAUGAAUUCAGUCAAGGUCUGAUUUGUUAUAUAUAAGGGGAGGUUUGGUCUUUCACCAUACUACUUACUGCUGCUAGAAGGGUGCUAGGGAGCCCUGAUACUCCUUGGAAAGAUAUCCUGAAUUUAUUUUACUUGGUGAUCACCAGAUAAGAUGCAAAAGUAGUUCUUUGGGCACAGAGCAGAACCAUAUCUUUCCACCCUUGUUUGUGAGCUCUGGACAGCAGACCACCAGGCUGCUUUUGCUCUUAGGAUCAAUGCUCUAUUAUUAAUUUUUGGGCAAACAUUUAGCAGGAGCUAAAGAUUCCCUUGUGGAGACUGGUAGCAAGAGUGUGCCCUGAAGAAAUGGAUUUGCCUUCUCUGAGGUGGAGAAGUGAAUUGAAUUGGAGUCCUCCAUGUCCUGGGAUCUCAUCAUGACUGUUGUCAGCAAUAACGCAUUUGUGGCACUCAGAUGUUUGUGAGAAGAGCCCACUCUGUGGUUCACAUGAGGCCAUGUUUACCCCCUGGAAACCCAGGUCUGGUGGAAGGUCCUGGAGCCCAGGCACAAAGCCAUGGGGAACUGCAAAAUACCCCAAAGCUGUUUGUUGGAGGCCAGGCAUGGAGAAGAACAAUUUGUAACAGCUGCUAAUGGAAAAGCAGGUGAAUGCGACCAAAGGCCUGGCCUGCACUUCACAGACCAUGCCCAGGCCAGAAGUGGUGGUAAAUCUGAACAACGGAUUUAUCUUGAAUUCAUCUUGAAUGUGAAGCAAAGAGCAGCCACAUGCAGUGGCAGGACCAUCUGGAGCUAACUAAGCACACAAGACAGGCUGAUUCAACUGGUGUUUACCUGGAGCAAGACUCCCUACCUAAUGUGGCAUUGGAGAAACAUAAAAGAAGCCAGGAAAUAGAGGCUAUUUAAACAGGAAACAUCAAUACUUCUUACAAUAUUUUUGACAAGUAUAGGUAAAAGGCAACCAUAUAAAUUCCUAUGGUAAGUUAAAAUUUCAUGCUUGAUCAAGACAAAGUGGUGGAAGGUAACUGAUUCCAGUGCUGCAUAUAUUUGUAGCAACAUGAAAGUGUCAUCCAUCCCACUGUUGCCAAUAUUCAGGAGUUUACUUGCUACCUGUACCUGUAAAUGGUAGCAAUUGCAGUCAAAGUUUCCCUGUCUGCCACAGGAGGUAUUAAGGUUGAUGAGCUGUUCAGAAUUAUUGCUAAUGACGACAAGAUAGUGAUAUUGCUCUUCACCUUCAAGGUAGUAAGUGGUGUCAAGCCAUGGCAAUAAUUUCCUGGAACAAACAACCUAGUUUUACUUUCUAAUGUAAAUUGUACUCUUAUUGAUGCAAUAAACUGCAACUGUUUCUUCAGGCUGUGGAAGACUUCCAGUAACUCAUAAAAGCCUCAGUCAUGUAAUUGUGUUGGGUGCUGCUUCCUCCCAGAGCCUUGCUAGGUCAUCUUGCAAUAGGGGCCAUACAAAAGAGACAGUGUACAGCAAAUUUGGUCAUUUCCAAGCAGAGCUUGGUUGUGUCUCUCAAAUGUGACACAGAGCUUGGUUGUUGUCUCUCCUACGUGCAGCCACAGAACCUUGCUGCCCCAAGAGACUCAAGUCAGCCAAGUUGUAACUCAAAGUCCAGAAGUAACUGUUCUGAGAUAGGAAAGUAUCUUGGAUAACCUGUUUGGCAUAGCACUUCUUGGUAGCACCCAGACAACAAAUUGACUUAAAUUGAAGCUAAUUAAGAUUAAUAUUGUCUGAGAAUGCACAUGCUUUCCUGUACUGAGUAACUCUGCAGCCACACUUCUACAACAGUACUUUCUUACCCACUGCUUCUUUGUGUUUCUGAUCUGAGUCAUCUGUCAAGUCUAUCUGAAGCCUUGUCAAGCCUUGUAUAGUUCUGCCAAGAGAGUAAAUUUCCUUACUCAGGGUACAUUGGAUAAAAGAAGUUUGGUUGGUUUUGUUUUCUUUUCUGAGUUUCUUUUUUUUUUUUUUCCUGAAG